GAAAAGUUCAAUAAUAUGAUAUUAGAUUAAUCGCAAAGUGAUUAGUUGUUUCAACUUUUGAAUAUGUAAAAAUAAGAAUAAUUUUAUCGACAUAGUAGAAGAAAAAGUUUCAUUGAAGGCCAUUCGUACAACGUGAAAGAAGUGGAAAUAAAUCAUCCCUGGCAAUACAGGAACAUAAUCAAGCAAAUUUAUCACAAAUCGUUUCUCUUUUCUUUUUUUUUUGCAGUGGUCAUAUUUAAUGCUUAUACUAAUGUUUCAAAUGAUGUUUGAAUUGAAGUAUUCGAAAAAUUCGAAUGAAAAUGAAAAAAAAAAAGUAACGAAGUGUUUCAAUUUUUGAAGGUUAGCAAGAUCCAAGUGAUAAUCCAGUACUUCAGCAAGGCGUAACAAGUGUCUGUGUGACGUCACGCGGCUUUCUGGAGGCGGAGCCUGUGAUUGGGGGAGCAAGUGGGGGUGGGCUCUCCCGUAUCGUGGAUCGUUUGCCCCACCCUCGGGAUUUUGUUCCUUCGUACCACCGCUACUUUCAACCUCCUCCUUUUCUCUCCCUCGAUCUCUUUUCCUCUCUUUUGAAGUUUGUUCGGUGACCCCCCA